UACGUAGGGGGCAAGCGUUGUCCGGAAUUAUUGGGCGUAAAGCGCGCGCAGGCGGUUCUUUAAGUCUGAUGUGAAAGCCCGUGGCUCAACCACGGAGGGUCAUUGGAAACUGGGGAGCUUGAGUACAGAAGAGGAGAGUGGAAUUCCACGUGUAGCGGUGAAAUGCGUAGAUAUGUGGAGGAACACCAGUGGCGAAAGCGGCUCUCUGGUCUGUAACUGACGCUGAGGCGCGAAAGCGUGGGGAGCAAACAGG
rnacentral:rRNA from 1 species